UGCAUCGUCAGCUGAUCCUCCACUGAACUGAGAAGCUUUAUAGUCCUGUGACUCCAACUCUGCAGGACUCAGACCCGUCAGUCCACCACAACCACCAUGACUCUCAUCACCCUCCUCAUCUGGACGCUGGCCUGCUGCAGCUUCACAGGAUGCAGCGGCCAGGUGACUGUGACUCAGCCUCCAGUCGUGACAUUUACUCCAGGAUCCACUGUCACGCUGACCUGUAAAACCAACCCCAGUGUUACUAGCACUAGUUAUAUGUCCUGGUACCAGCAGAAACCUGGACAGGCUCCCAAGCUUCUUAUAUACGAUACAACAACUCUUAAUUCUGGAUUUCCCUCUCGAUUCAGUGGCAGUGGCUCUGGUUCUAGCUUCACCUUAACCAUCAGCAGUGUUCAGGAUGAAGAUUUUGGAGAUUAUUACUGUCAGAGCUUCCAUGUAGUAAACGGAGCAUUGUGGUGGACUUUCGGUGGAGGAACCAAACUCAACAUUGACUUGGGUGUGGUGCGGCCCACCCUGACCCUCCUCCCCCCCUCCAGUGAAGAGCUGAAGCAGGGCACUGCCACUCUGGUGUGUAUGGCCAGCGGGGGCUUCCCCUCAGCCUGGAGCCUGGGCUGGAAGGUGGGGGGCAGCAUCAGGUCCUCAGGGGUGUCUCACAGCCCGGGGGUCCUGGGGGGAACCGGCCACUACAGCUGGAGCAGCACCAUGAGCCUCCCUGCAGAGCAGUGGAGGAAUGUGGGCUCAGUGAGCUGUGAGGCCAGUCUGAACGGACAGAGCCCUGUCGCUCAAACCCUGGACCCUGACCUCUGCUCGGAGUAG